rnacentral:rRNA from 1 species
AGUGAACGCUGGCGAUAGGCCUAACACAUGCAAGUCGAACGGCAGCACAGUAAGAGCUUGCUCUUACGGGUGGCGAGUGGCGGACGGGUGAGGAAUACAUCGGAAUCUACUUUUUCGUGGGGGUUAACGUAGGGAAACUUACGCUAAUACCGCAUACGACCUACGGGUGAAAGCAGGGGAUCUUCGGACCUUGCGCGAUUGAAUGAGCCGAUGUCGGAUUAGCUAGUUGGCGGGGUAAAGGCCCACCAAGGCGACGAUCCGUAGCUGGUCUGAGAGGAUGAUCAGACACACUGGAACUGAGACACGGUCCAGACUCCUACGGGAGGCAGCAGUGGGGAAUAUUGGACAAUGGGCGCAAGCCUGAUCCAGCCGUACCGCGUGGGUGAAGAAGGCCUUCGGGUUGUAAAGCCCUUUUGUUGGGAAAGAAAAGCAGCAGGUUAAUACCCCGCUGUUCUGACGGUACCCAAAGAAUAAGCACCGGCUAACUUCGUG